rnacentral:rRNA from 1 species
UAAUACAUGCAAGUCGAACGAAGUAGCAAUACUUAGUGGCAGACGGGUGAGUAACAUGUAGGUAUCUACCCUUUGGCCUGGAAUAACACGAGGAAACUUGUGCUAAUACCGGAUAAGUCUUUACGGAGAAAGCUUUAUGCACCAUUGGAUGAGCCUGCACUUGAUUAGUUUGUUGGUGGGGUAAUGGCCUACCAAGACAAUGAUCAAUAGCUGAUUUGAGAGGAUGAUCAGCCACAUUGGGACUGAGACACGGCCCAAACUCCUACGGGAGGCAGCAGUAGGGAAUCUUGCACAAUGGAGGAAACUCUGAUGCAGCGAUGCCGCGUGAGUGAAGAAGGCCUUUGGGUUGUAAAGCUCUUUCGUCGGGGAAGAAAAUGACUGUACCCGAAUAAGAAGGUCCGGCUAACUUCGUGCCAGCAGCCGCGGUAAUACGAAGGGACCUAGCGUAGUUCGGAAUUACUGGGCUUAAAGAGUUCGUAGGUGGUUAAAAAAGUUGGUGGUGAAAUCCCAGAGCUUAACUCUGGAACUGCCAUCAAAACUUUUUAGCUAGAGUAUGAUAGAGGAAAGCAGAAUUUCUAGUGUAGAGGUGAAAUUCGUAGAUAUUAGAAAGAAUACCGAUUGCGAAGGCAGCUUUCUGGAUCAUUACUGACACUGAGGAACGAAAGCAUGGGUAGCGAAGAGGAUUAGAUACCCUCGUAGUCCAUGCCGUAAACGAUGUGUGUUAGACGUUGGAAAUUUAUUUUCAGUGUCGCAGCGAAAGCGAUAAACACACCGCCUGGGGAGUACGACCGCAAGGUUAAAACUCAAAUGAAUUGACGGGGACCCGCACAAGUAGUGGAGCAUGUGGUUUAAUUCGAAGAUACGCGCAGAACCUUACCAACACUUGACAUGUUCGUCGCGACUCUAAGAGAUUAGAGUUUUCGGUUCGGCCGGACGAAACACAGGUGCUGCAUGGCUGUCGUCAGCUCGUGUCGUGAGAUGUUGGGUUAAGUCCCGCAACGAGCGCAGCCCUUACUUUUAGUUGCCAUCAUUUAGUUGGGCACUCUGAAAGAACUGCCAGUGAUAAGCUGGAGGAAGGUGGGGAUGACGUCAAGUCCUCAUGGCCCUUACGUGUUGGGCUACACACGUGCUACAAUGGUAUCUACAACAGGAAGCAAGAUGGCAACAUUAAGCAAAUCCCAAAAAGAUACCUCAGUUCGGAUUGCACUCUGCAACUCGAGUGCAUGAAGCUGGAAUUACUAGUAAUCGUGGAUCAGCGUGCCACGGUGAAUACGUUCCCGGGUCUUGUACACACCGCCCGUCACACCAUGGGAGUUGGUUCUACCUUAAGGCAAGGUUUAAUACCCUUGACCACGGUAUAGUCAGCGACUGGGGUG